rnacentral:misc_RNA from 1 species
AACCUUAUGGACCUGCGGGCGUAUACCUGCGGAAGGAUCAUUACAGAGAUUGAUGCACCAAGUGCAUCACCUCCAACCCCUUGCGAAAACAACUAUCAUGUGUUGCUUUGGCAGUGUUUCCACUGCCAGAGGUUUACAUAAAAUCAGCUGUUGGAUGUUGUCUGAGUAAACUAUAUGAAUUAUUUAAAACUUUCAGCAACGGAUCU